UAAAGAGUUCUAUAACUCCCAAACCCAUGUGAACAUACCUAACGUUGCCUCGGCAGGUCGCACCUACCUUGUAGCACCCUACCCUGUAGGGCCUACCCGGGAGGUGCGGGUAAGCCUGCCGGCGGCCCACCAAACUCUGUUUGAUAUUGAAUUCUGAACCUAUAACUAAAUAAGUUAAAACUUUCAACAACGGAUCUCUUGGUUCUGGCAUCGAUGAAGAACGCAGCGAAAUGCGAUAAGUAAUGUGAAUUGCAGAAUUCAGUGAAUCAUCGAAUCUUUGAACGCAUAUUGCGCCCAUUAGUAUUCUAGUGGGCAGGACCGUUCGAGCGUCAUUUCAACCCUUAAGCCUUCGUUGCUUAGUGUUGGGAGCCUACGGCAACGUAGCUCCUCAAAGUUAGUGGCGGAGUUGGUUCACACUCUAGACGUAGUAAUUUUUUAUCUCGCCUAUUAGUUGGACUAAUCCCCUGCCGUAAAACCCCCAAUUUAUCAAGGUUGACCUCGAAUCGGUUCAGACAAACUCGCUAAAUUGAAGCAUCUUAGUCAGCGAAGGAAAAGAAACCAACAGGGAUUGCCCUAGUAACGGCGAGUGAAGCGGCAACAGCUCAAAUUUGAAAUCUGGCCCUCGGGUCCGAGUUGUAAUUUGUAGAGGAUGCUUUUGGCGCGGUGCCUUCCGAGUUCCCUGGAACGGGACGCCUUAGAGGGUGAGAGCCCCGUACGGUUGGACACCAAGCCUCUGUAAAGCUCCUUCGACGAGUCGAGUAGCUUGGGAAUGCUGCUCUAAAUGGGAGGUAAAUUUCUUCUAAAGCUAAAUAUUGGCCAGAGACCGAUAGCGCACAAGUAGA
rnacentral:rRNA from 1 species